GCGUAAUUGGUUUAGUGGUAAAAUUCUCCGUUGCCAGUCGAGUUCCUUCGGAACCAACAAGUAUCGGGGAGCCCUGGGUUCGAUUCCCAGAUUACGCA
rnacentral:tRNA from 1 species